rnacentral:misc_RNA from 1 species
UGAAUUAUGCAAAGAUUUGUCAAAUGCGAAGUACCUAGUGGUCGUAGAAUUGAUCGAAAAUGUCAUUGGGACGUGAAGAAAUAUGAAAGAAAUCGGAUUAAAAUUGGGAUUGUAAUUAAUUAGUAUUGACAUAAAACAGUAAAAAUGAAUACUAUAACCAGUGAGCUUAGUAUGAACGAUUUGAAUAACAAAUUUUUUGAGGUAAUGCAAAAUGAAGACAAUGCAGUGGAAGCAGCGAAUUUUAUUUACGAAUGCGUUUGCGACGAUGUUACUUUGGGUUUCAUUUUUGAUUUUCAUCACGGGAUGAAAACUGGUUUGACGGAACUUUUAGAAGGCGAGAGAGAGGAUGAAGAACCCUAUAAUAUAGUGAAUAACCCUGAAUGUGAUGUCUUCGGCACAUCUAUUAUAAAAAAAACACCAGACUCGAACUGUGCAUGUCCAAAUUGCGAGAGACCGGUGUCGGCGACGAGGUUCGCCCCCCAUUUAGAGAAGUGUAUGGGCAUGGGACGUAACAGCUCGCGUAUAGCAUCGCGUCGCAUAGCAUCCAACAGCCGCGAGCCAACCUCCUACGCCGGACUCCUCAGUGAUGAUGAAGACGACGUGGACUGGGCGGGUGGCUCCCUGCAGGCAGACCGCAGGAAGAGACGCAUUAAGAACAACAACAGAAAAUCAAACAAAAUGCACAAGUACGGAACCGUAAAAAAAAAUCUCUGUCCUUCCAGUGGUAAUAAUAGAAACAACAACGGACAUCAUAAUUCAGACUCUAAUGACGGCGGCGCCACGUAUGAAACUAUGACGGCUAAUGAGAAAAAGAAUUUGCUGCUUCAAAUUUGCGGAGUUGUAUCGGAACACACAAAGAAAUUGUGCACAAGAUCAACACGCUGUCCACAACACACAGAGGAGCAACGUCGCGCCCUCCGCAACAGCGUUCUGGAACCUUCGACCCCGGAGUCGCAGACCAUGGGCCUGACGGCCGACGAGGCCGGCUCGCCGCCCGAUUCAAGCCCAUCGUCGUCUUGCUCGUCUUCGAGUCGCAAGAGGGAACGGCACCGCGCCCCACCAAAAACCAAGAAUAAGAGGGAGCGAAAUAUGUCGCCUAGUGGCAGGGAUUAAUUUGAUGACCCAGUGACGUCAUAAAGGAUAAUUUCGUUAGAAAAAUGCAAAAAUAUACAGAUGAUAAGUUUAUUGUUUGUAGCUUUGUUUUCAAUGUCAUUAUGGAGAAUGAUCAAAUUAUUACAUUGAGUAAUUUUAUUAUAAUGUAAGCAAGCCUUUAGUUAGAUUACAAGCUGCGAGUAAGAUUCAUUGAAAAUGUUUUGAAUCUAUGUGUAUUUAAAUUUAGUACUAAUCGCAAGUCUGUCUUGAUAUUAAUGUCGGUUGCUAACUAAUAACAGAAAAUUACACAUAGAACAUAGUUUGCGAUCUGUACACAAGCGUGAAAAAAUAUUAACUAAGCUAUUGAGUUAGGCUAAACACACUUAGCGUUGUUUUUGGUCUACAACCUGCAUUACUUAUGAAAUUUCUGUAGCAAAGGGUUCAUGUAGCCCUAUUCCUGUCGACUUCCCUGAAUAUAGUAAUUAUGUAAAAUAUAAUUAUCAUUAUAACGAUUUGUAGACCGCAUUCAUCCAUGUUAGAACUUAUAUGUAGUAUUGGGUUCCGUUUGAAAAAAAUCAUGUCUCGCCCACGUAACAUUGUGAAAAUAAAUCAAUUUGUUUACACCGGAAUAGAUAUUUUUAAUAGGGUUAUUAAAUGUCUCAAUAAAAAAAUGUAUUUGCCUAUAUUUAAGUCUGCAAAAUAUUAGUGUUAUUGGUAAGUUAUUGUAUUUCAACAUGUAAAAGUGGCAUGUUUUAGCAAAAAAUUGUAUUAUUAGAUUUAUCCAGAGCUUAGGGAUACCAUAACCUUGAAUCGACCAGAACAUUUUGAAUAUCAUUGAUGCUUCUAAUGUAGUCAACGACAAAAGGUGAAGAAAUAUCAAAUCGAGUUUAAACUUUUGUAUCCGUAUCAACAAUCGUUACUUUCUUUUCACAAAAAAAAAUUAAAUUUUCAACUUUAAGAAAAAUAAUAUUUAGAGGGGUAAUGUGUAGAAAUGUAUUAAAGUUUCAAAGUUAAACUACUUUUGUGGCUGAUUUGUAGUUAAUCUGUUGAAGCAUUGUAAAGUUUCUUUAUUCAGCUGAUUUUGUGGAUGGUUGUAUAAUAGGUCUAACCCCAACAGCUCGGUAGCUGAAUGGUGUUUGAAACUUGGUAUACAGUAGUUGUUAAAUAACAAAUUCAAAACUUAUUUGUAAUCUAUAACACAGCCUUCGGAAACUUAUGGAAUGCACGAUCACUAGCUUAAUCACGAUGUUAUAAUAUGAAUUCAUAUAGUAUGAUCUCGUUUUAUCGCAGUGGCGUAGUUGGAGGAGGGGGGGGGAGCAGGUGGCGAAGACAUGAUCCGUGCGGCACAUAAAAGAGAUGGCGCGUGUCGCAUUCUUUUUUAGUAUAGUUCAAAUCUAGGGCCUAUGUAUUUCUCUCAUCUGCAGGGGAAAUGUUGGAUCGACCCCAAGCAGUAAAACCUACGCUAUAAUACAUUUUAUUCGUACAUAAUAUGUGUUAAAAUUAGUCGUUUUAUAUUGUGGAAGAGUAUAAUAGCUUAAAUAUAUAAAUAAGAUAGUCGAUGUAGAUUUUAACCUAUGUCGAUUUCUGAAUAAAUAACUCAAUAUUUAAAUUCAAGUUUAAAUAAUGCACGAAAAUGUGUACUAUAUUGCAUUUCAUUCUAAGGUAAAUAUGUUAUUUCAAUAAUUGUAGCAUAUAUCUAGAUAUAUGUUAUAUCUCAUAUAUUUAUUACUUAUGUCUGUAUAUACAUAAUAACUGAAGUUCCACCGAAUAUUAUAAUGUGUUCUAGUUUCUCCACUAAUUGUAAUUGCGAUUCUUGAUUAUGUAGAAAUUGUUUUCUGACUUGAUAUCAUUGUAUGUAUAUAAAUGGACUGAAUUAUACUGGUGAUACUUUGAAUAAUAAAUGUGUAGUGAUGUG